rnacentral:rRNA from 1 species
CAUGGAUGUUCCUCCUGAUCUCUACGCAUUUCACUGCUACACCAGGAAUUCCGCUACCCUCUACCACACUCUAGUCGUCCAGUAUCCACUGCAGUUCCCAGGUUGAGCCCAGGGCUUUCACAACGGACUUAAACGACCACCUACGCACGCUUUACGCCCAGUAAUUCCGAGUAACGCUUGCACCCUUCGUAUUACCGCGGCUGCUGGCACGAAGUUAGCCGGUGCUUAUUCUUUGGGUACCGUCAUCCCAACCGGGUAUUAGCCAGCUGGAUUUCUUUCCCAACAAAAGGGCUUUACAACCCGAAGGCCUUCUUCACCCACGCGGUAUGGCUGGAUCAGGCUUGCGCCCAUUGUCCAAUAUUCCCCACUGCUGCCUCCCGUAGGAGUCUGGACCGUGUCUCAGUUCCAGUGUGGCUGAUCAUCCUCUCAGACCAGCUACGGAUCGUCGCCUUGGUGGGCCUUUACCCCGCCAACUAGCUAAUCCGACAUCGGCUCAUUCAAUCGCGCAAGGUCCGAAGAUCCCCUGCUUUCACCCGUAGGUCGUAUGCGGUAUUAGCGUAAGUUUCCCUACGUUAUCCCCCACGAAAAAGUAGAUUCCGAUGUAUUCCUCACCCGUCCGCCACUCGCCACCCAGAGAGCAAGCUCUCCUGUGCUGCCGUUCGACUUGCAUGUGUUAGGCCUACCGCCAGCGUUCACUCUGAGCCAGGAUCAAACCCUG